rnacentral:tRNA from 1 species
GGCUCUGUGGCGUAGCGGUUAGCACUCAAGACCUUGAGUCCUGCGACAGAAGUUCAAAUGUUUUCAGAACCC